CAGAGAUGAAUUUUUCCCUUUCUGUCGAUCUCCCUAGCUUGUGGAUGAAACUCCUUGGUUUCCCUUGUAGCGAAGCAUCUCACAACAGAAAUAUACCUCCCAAAAGAGAGAGAACUAAGGUUGAAUAAUAUGGACUUUUGGCCCAGAAGAGUCCAGAAAACAGGGCUUGUAAUGAAGAAGAGUUACUGAGGAAAUCUUUCUCAAUAUGAAACAUGGGAACAAGGUUGAUGGCCCCUCAGCUCCAUGGCUCUGAGAGAGGUAAAGGGGACCAAGGGUGAAAGACUGUGACUGGAUCUGAGGGCCCAACCAAGGAAGAGGUAGAAG